rnacentral:misc_RNA from 1 species
GGAAGGAUCAUUAUAGAAGUAUAUGGGGGUGUUGAGGUGUGGUAGCGAUAUCAUCCUCGAUGCGACAUAUGCAAUGUGCGUGAUGAUGUGCAUGACAGUGUGCAUUACUAUGCACAUGACAGUGUGCAUUACUAUGCACAUGACAGUGUGCACUAUAUGCACAUGACAAUGUGCACUAUAUGCACACAUGCGCUGGGGCGCAGUAUCGCAUUACGAUAUCGACAAUUGGGUUGACAGUGUGUUGGGCAAAGCAAACAAACCUUUGGCAAUGGAUCUCUAGGCUCCUGCAUCGAUGAAGAACGCAGCAAAGUGCGAAAAGUGGUGCAAACUGCAUUGCUAGUGAGACAUUGAAUUUUUGAACGCAAAUGGUGCAGCUGUUUGAGCUGCAUGGCGGUUCGAGGGAUGAGCAAUGAUUGGGUGUGAAGAUAUAUGAUAUAUAUAUGAUAUAUAUAUGUUAUGUCAUAUCGCAACAGCCAGCACUGUCCUCCGAUUUGAAUAUUCAAAUCGCUGGACAAAAUGCAAAUACAGUCUGCAACGGGACACGCACGAGGCUAAGCGAUUGUGCGGGGACCAGCGCGGAUAUAUAUAUCACUAUAUAUAUAAAUAUAUAUACCCAUCCUCGAAACGCCAAGACUACCCGCCAAACUUAAGCAUAUCAGUAAGCGGAGGAAAAGAAACUAACAAGGAUUCCUGCAGUAACGGCGAGUGAAGCAGGACCAGUCCAUGCUGAAUCGUGCGCAUUACCGCGCACGACCUGUGGCAUCAGGCUGAGCGUGCGCAGCGGGCGACGAGACGACAGGUCUUUUGGAAAGAAGCAUCGCAGAGGGUGAAAGUCCCGUCGACGUCGACGUCUCCCGCGGGCGGCACUGCGCUCGGCAGCGAGUCGAGCAGCUUGGGAGUGCUGCUCAAAGGGGUGGUAUACUCCAUCCAAGACUAAAUAGAGGCAGGAGACCGAUAGCAAACAAGUACCGUGAGGGAAAGAUGAAAAGCACCUUGGAAAGGGGGUUAAAAGCACGUGAAAUUGCUUAAGGGGAAGCGUAUUGAUUCCGAUGGCAGGGGGCGUGGCGCGGGCGAUUGGGCGAGGACUGCGGAGGCAUCCGAAGCGGUUGUCGCUGAAGCGUGCGCAGCGCCCCAGACGGCGACAGCAGCGGCGUGCGACGAUCGGACAGGCAGGCGGGGGCGCGUCGCCACUGGCGAUGGGCACUUUGCGGCCGCGAUGGAAGCAGGCGGGCUGGCGCGAUGCAGCGGGGACUAUACGACCCGUCUUGAAACACGGACCAAGGAGUCUAACAUGUGUGCGAGUAUUAUGGUGGCAAGCCAAUAGUGCGCAGGGAGACCGCGGUGUGGGAGGUGGAGGAUAUGUGUAAUAAUAUAUAUCUCCAUCGCACCACAGUGCGUGCGGCACUCUAUGUCGCGCGCACAGAGCACAAAUGUUGGGACCCGAAAGAUGGUGAACUAUGCCUGGAUAGGAUAAAGCCAGAGGAAACUCUGGUGGAGGUCCGAAGCCGUUCUGACGUGCAAAUCGAUGGUCAAAUCUGGGUAUAGGGGCGAAAGACUAAUCGAACCAUCUAGUAGCUGGUUUCCUC